UCUUAAACUCAACCGAAGGCUCAAUGAAUGCCAACAAUCGCCAGGAAUUGCCUCGAAUUGGUCCAAUCAAACUACCCCCAUUCCCAUUCUGCAUUCGCCUAUGAACCCGCGUUAUUAACUGAUUAUUCGACAGGCGUUAAUUACCCAACAUGUGAUGAGACUGUGAAUUCAUGGACUGAAUCAUUCGGCGAAGAGCGUCAGGGGGUUUUCGUCUAUUGGGGGUCACUUCAUGGGGGCUUGAUGAUGUUUACAUCGUCAGCGGACCAUCAACAUUGGACAGGACAACUGUUAACUGGGCUAAAUGACUUUAACUCGAUGUGAUUUUGCCGGCGAAUCACUAAAUUGAACGAAUACGAACUAAACUGAACUCAACUAAGCUAAUCAUAUCACAUUACUGGGCGUUAUUAGCCGAGGCACGAUAUAAGUGAAGGUUCGGUGAUGCCAGAGCUGCAGUACCGGGUGGGUCGCCUCCUGCACUGACCCGUCUCCCUUCACUUUUGGAUUAAUUUUUCACACUUCGCGGGCCCGACCGCUGAUUCACCGACAUUUUACCGGGAGUUAAACCUCGCAGAUCCAAAUAUUUGGCGAAUCACCGCUCGUCGCUGGCUCCGGGGACGACUCCAGUGCGUCGAAUCGCCUAAAAUUUUUGUGGAAUUUCUGGGGAAUAUUUGUGGAGAGAAAAGUCGCAGGAAUAUUACUGUCGGGGAUUAGGAUCGAGGUGACAAAAAAUGAUGGAAUAGUGAAAUUGUUUGAUUCAGAUAUAACAAUUUUUGUUAAUAUUGUAAAUUUUUUAAUUUAUGGAUUGAAAUUUUGGAUGAAAAUUAGACCUCUGGAGGACCAAAUGUGGGAUGAAAUGACAAUUAAACAUUUUUUAGGUCAAGUUUUGUUGAAAAAGUUGGACAAAGUUACCCUUCGUCCCUUCUUUCACCUCCUGGAGGUCUGACUUUUACUUAAAAUUUCUGUUUGUGUACAUUUUGUAAUUAAUUAUAUGUGGGUUCAUAAAAUUUACGAAAUCGCACUAAAAAAAUUGAAGGUUUAUAAUUUUUUUUAUUUGAAUUUAAAUAAAAAAUUAAUAGAAAUCUUUUAAAAGUUUUCAACUAGAUCAGUUUAUUUUAUUGGACUUUUCUUCAUUUUUUACUGUACCAGACAGUGAUUUGUCGAUAACUCAUUGUGAUUGGUUGACGAUGAGCCCCGAAUAUAUACGAUUAUUUCCGAUGUUCGGCUCCGUCAUGGAAUCUGUUGCAUCAGCCAUUUAACGUCCAUCAUUGGUUCCUCAUUACACUUUAAAUUUUUAUUUUUAUUUUUAUUUACGAGGCUGAUACAAAAGUUUUUCUAAGCUGAUAAAUAAACCAUCCUAGAUGGCAUAGUAAUUUUUCUCAUAUCUGCAGUUUGCGUCGAGAAUGUAAGACAGCAGAGUAAUUUUUAUCGGAAUCACAUUAUAAAAAUUCAUAGAUUUUUGUCUCUGUGUGAAGGGAUUUAUUCGAAAUAUAUAAUAGAAAAAUAUGUAUAUGAAUGGGAUUGAUGCUUCCGGGGAUGGGGAAUGAAAUGAGUGAACAGUAAGGGAGACAGAGGGUCGUAUAUCCACGAAGAGAAAUUUUUACUGGUAUAUAAACUGCGAUUACAGUAAAAAUUGCCUAUGAAACAUUGCAUUACAAGAGCAUACGGUAUUUACUUGAAAAUUUCAUAUGUUUAAUAAUAAAAUUUAAAAGUGCUACAGUUUAAAUUUGGAAAAAUACGAUUGUUUUUUUUUACGAUUCAACAUCAAACUUUUUAUUUUAGUUCGAAAAAUACAUUUAGUUUAAAAUCGUAAUCAAUUAAAAAAAAUUAUAUUUACUUUAAAAUCAUUAUCGAUUAAAAAAAAAACAUUUAGUUCAAAAUUGAUAACAAUUUUAAACUAAACCAAUUUUUUUUUGUUUUGUAUUCUAUCUUCUGUCUAUACUUGUCUAUAAAGACACGUAUUUUAAACAACACUAUCAUGUAACAUAACAAAAUCCUCAUUGAAUCAGCGCGAAUUUAUUUUUAGGCUGAGCAAUUUUUCGAAAUCAGUUAUGGAAAAUUCAGUAAAUAGUAGUUUAUGCAAGAUGAGGAAUUUAAUUUUUCUAUGGUAAUAAGUAGAAAAACGAAUCGAGUCUAUCAAAACUUUAUUAAUAUUCUGGUACUUAUUUGAGUGAUUCUUAGAAAAUUUUGACGAUUUUGAAAAUUUUAUACAAGGUACAAUAUUUAAAUUUAAUGUGGUAAAAAAACUUAAAUAAAUGACACAAUAAAAUAGAGAAGUGAUUAGUUUAGGACGUCUUUAAAUCCACCUGAAAAAAUAUCAGUUUUUUAUUUAAAUUUCUGUAUUUGUAGGAACACUUUUACUGCAAUUUUCAAAUGACUGACUUUUUUUAAUUAUUCACGAAAGUCGGUAAAUGUAAAUUAAUUAAUUAUUUGAAAAACUAAUGCAUAAUAUCUACGAAAUUAAUUAUUUUUCUUUUUCCCAAAAACAUAAAAAAAUUGGAAUUAAAUACUACUUCCAAUGUAUUACAAAUAUUCAUUACCCCCCAGUAAUUAUCAAGCAAUACAUUAUUAUUAUUAUAUGUCAAGAUAAAUGUUUGAUAUAACAAUAGCUCGAAAAAUCGAAAAAUCCUAAAAAAUAAAAAAAUCGUCGUCUCGAUUCCUCACAACCGAAAUAAAAACUCCCCGAAGGGUGAGUGCAGGCAGAGAUCGGGGUAGAUUUCGGGUCAAUUACCGACUACUUUUGUCAAGCCCAUUUCAACAGAAUAUGUGGGAGAACCUCGCUGCCCACAUAUGCUGGCCUAAGAUCAUGAGAACCAACGUAUUUCUAUAUUAGAAUGACCGCCCGCAGUCAUUCACCGAGAGACGCAACAACGCACAGCGAAGAUGCACCGUAUGCGGGAUAAACUACUCGUUUCAAUUUUAGCUCGAAAUAUAUUUCCUAUCGAAAAACAUCGUGAGAAAUUGAAUUGUCCGUGUGAUGGGCCGAUGGUGGUUGCGGGCUAAUCGUACGGGUGUUCUCACGGAGGUAUAUAAUACACUCUGACUCAUCCCCUCAGCCAUUUAACUUUGGGGUAAUUUGUACAUUUUUGUCAUUCACAAUAUUCUCAUUUUUGUACUUCAAAAAAAUUAAAUUAAAUUUUUAAAAAUAAAUUAAAAUAAUAAUAAUAAUAAUAAUAAUAAUAUUAGGAGUGUGAAUAAGUCUUUCCCGUUUUUUUCAAAUUUUGAGCCGUUAUUGUGAAAAAAUGGUUACAAAUGAAUUAUUGAAAGUAUUGGCCAUCGUCUUCUUGCGUUUGACACGAAUCUUCAUCAAGCAAAGUCGCCAAUUCUUGAUCUUCAAAGAUUUGCGGCCGCCCGGAACGCUCCUUGUCUUCUACGUCGAAAUCACCACUUUUGAAGCGUCGAAACCAUCCGCGAACACUUGAAUCAUCGACACAACCUUCUCCAAAAGCUUCCUGAAGCAAUCGAUGCGCCUCGGCAGCAGAUUUCUUCAAAUUGAACCAAUAAAGUGAAACUUCCCGCAAAUGACGUCGACUCGGCUCAAAUUUCGACAUUUUCACGAUAUCAAAAAUUUAUGAUGCGAAAAAAUUUCAACUAAUGUGUUAGUGUGGAAUUGUUGACAGAUGAAUAAGCUUUGAUUAUGACAUAUGUAACCAUUGAAUACUCGCACAGUAUUGGUCGCGGCAUCUCUUAUAAAAACGGGAAAGACUUAUUCACACACCUAAUAGUUUACCAUAAGAAUUCUGAUGAAUUAUUUGUCACUUGGAAAUUCAUUGAAUUAUUGUAUUUAUAUUUUUUAAGAUAAUAAUAAUAAUAAUAAUUCACGGUAAAAAUUAGGAAAAAUUAUUGAUUAUUUGGAAGUUCAUUAAAUUAUUUUUGUCCAUAUUUUUUAACAUAAUAAUAAUAACAAUAAUUCACGGUAGAAAUUGGGGAAAAUUAUUGUUUUUUUGGAAGUUCAGGAAAUUCUUUUAUCGAUGUUUUCUUAACACAAUAUUGAUGAUAAUAAUAAUAAUUUAUUUUCUUUGGAAUUACAUCUUGUGUUUUACAUCUUCUCCUUCUGAUGGUCCUUUCUUAAACUACAGAUUAUAAACGAUAAAUAAUUUUCAACACUUUACGACGGAUAUUCUAAUUAUUAGGAAAAUGAAGGCACGUGCGAACCUUUAGCUGGGCUUCAGGACAUUUAAAUAAUACGAUAUUUGUUUAUUUGUUGGGUUUUGCAUUGAACUCAAUACUUUCUCCAUUGGUUCACUGUCUCGGUUAUUUCGUAAUAACAGAGAUUUUUUAACAUUAUAAUCGUGCUUUAUUUAUUUAUUUGUUUUUCAAAUAGUAAUGAAGCGUUCAAGCGGGUCAAGUUGAUUGUGUCACUGUCGAUUGGUUUUAGGGCACAGAAUUUUGGAAACAACGACAUGCCCAAGUUUACUUUCUGGCAAUUAAUCUGCAAAA